rnacentral:rRNA from 1 species
GACGAGAAAGGGGUAGCAAUAUCCCGAGUAAAGUGGCGCACGGGUGAGUAACACGUAAGUAAUCUACCUUUAGGUUCGGAAUAACUCCGAGAAAUCGGGGCUAAUACCGGAUGAUGCAGCGGAUCCACAUGGAUAUGUUGUUAAAGUCUAUACGACGCCUAAAGAUGAGCUUGCGGCCGAUUAGCUAGUUGGUAGGGUAACGGCCUACCAAGGCAACGAUCGGUAGCUGGUCUGAGAGGAUGAUCAGCCACACUGGAACUGAGACACGGUCCAGACUCCUACGGGAGGCUGCAGUCGAGAAUCUUUCGCAAUGCCCGGAAGGGUGACGAAGCGACGCCGCGUGUGGGAAGAAGGCCUUCGGGUUGUAAACCACUGUCGGGAGUUAAGAAGUGUAAGGGGGUGAAUAGUCCUCUUACUUGACGUUAGCUCCGGAGGAAGCCACGGCUAACUCUGUGCCAGCAGCCGCGGUAAUACAGAGGUGGCAAGCGUUGUUCGGAAUUAUUGGGCGUAAAGAGCACGUAGGCGGCCCUACAAGUCAGCUGUGAAAUCCUUCUGCUCAACGGAAGAACGGCAGUUGAUACUAUAGGGCUGGAGUGCGGGAGGGGAGAGUGGAACUUCUGGUGGAGCGGUGAAAUGCGUAGAUAUCAGAAGGAACAUCGGCGGCGAAAGCGACUCUCUGGCCCGUAACUGACGCUGAGGUGCGAAAGCUAGGGGAGCAAACGGGAUUAGAUACCCCGGUAGUCCUAGCCGUAAACGAUGGGCACUCGGUAGAGGGGUUUUGAUUAUCUCUCUGCCUGAGCUAACGCGUUAAGUGCCCCGCCUGGGGAGUACGGCCGCAAGGCUAAAACUCAAAAGAAUUGACGGGGGCUCGCACAAGCGGUGGAGCAUGUGGCUUAAUUCGAUGCAACACGAAGAACCUUACCGGGGCUUGACAUGGUAGAAGUAGGAGCCCGAAAGGGUAACGAACGGUAUCCAGUCCGUAGCUAUCACAGGUGUUGCAUGGCUGUCGUCAGCUCGUGUCGUGAGACGUUGGGUUAAGUCCUCUAACGAGCGAAACCCUUGUCUUUAGUUGCCAACAGGUCAAGCUGGGCACUCUAAAGAGACUGCUGUCGUCAAGACGGAGGAAGGUGGGAUGACGUCAAGUCAUCAUGGCCCUUAUGUCCCGGGCUGCACACGGGCUACAAUGGUCGGUACAAAGGGAUGCCAAGUCGCAAGACGGAGCGAAACCCAAAUAAAGCCGAUCCCAGUUCAGAUUGGAGGCUGAAACCCGCCUCCAUGAAGUAGGAAUCGCUAGUAAUCGCGGAUCAGCUAUGCCGCGGUGAAUAUGUUCCCGAGCCUUGUACACACCGCCCGUCAAGCCACCCAAGCAAGAUGCACCCGAAGCCACUGGCCUAACCCGCAAGGGACGGAAGUGUCUAAGGUGUGUUUUGUGAGGAGGACU